CCCUGGGUGGCACAAUCAGUUAAUGUACUUGGCUGCUAACCAAAAGGUUGGAGGUUCUAUUCCUCCCGGAGGCA
rnacentral:tRNA from 1 species